UACCAGCACCCCGAGUGGUCGGGACGAUUAUUGGGCCUAAAGCAUCCGUAGCCGGUUUUACAAGUCCUCCGUUAAAUCCAGCUGCUUAACAGAUGGGCUGCGGAGGAUACUAUAAGACUAGGAGGCAGGAGAGGCAAGCGGUACUCAGUGGGUAGGGGUAAAAUCCGUUGAUCCAUUGAAGACCACCAGUGGCGAAGGCGGCUUGCCAAUACGCGUUCGACGGUGAGGGAUGAAAGCUGGGGGAGCAAACCGG
rnacentral:rRNA from 1 species